CAGCCGGGCUGUGGGUUACAGCCGGGCUGUGGGCUCCGGCCGGACUGUGGGUUACAGCGGGGCUGUGGGUUACAGCCGGGCUGUGGGUUACAAACAGACUGUGGGUUACAGCCGGGCUGUGGGUUACAGCCGGACUGUGGGUUACAGCGGGGCUGUGGGUUACAAACAGACUGUGGGUUACAGCCGGGCUGUGGGUUACAAACAGACUGUGGGUUACAGCCGGACUGUGGGUUACAAACAGACUGUGGGUUACAAACAGACUGUGGGUUACAGCCAGACUGUGGGUUACAAACAGACUGUGGGUUACAGCCGGGCUGUGGGCUCUGGCCGGACUGUGGGUUACAGUGGGGCUGUGGGUUACAGUGGGGCUGUGGGUUACAGCCGGACUGUGGGUUACAGCCGGACUGUGGGUUACAGCCGGGCUGUGGGUUACAGUGGGGCUGUGGGUUACAAACAGACUGUGGGUUACAGCCGGGCUGUGGGCUCAGGCUGGGCUCUGGGUUCCAACCGGGCUCUGGGCUCCGGCCGGUGUAAGCUCUGGCCGGGCUGCGGCCUCCGGCCUUCACACCCCGCCGGCCGCGUUCCCCAUCUCCCCGGAGCACUCCACCUCCCCUCAAGGUGUUAAAAUACCUGUAUGCAACACCAAGGGUGGUGCAGUAGCUCUAUGCCCCCAAAAGGUGUAAAAAUACCUCUACACGCAACCCCAAAAGUGCUACAAUACGUGUAUACACCCAAAAGAUGUUACAACACCUGUACAUGCAACCCCAAAGGAGGUACAAUACCUCUACACUGCCAAAGCAUGUAAAAAUACCUGUACACACAGCCCCAAAGGUGGUACAAUACCUCUACACUUUCAAAAGAUGUAAAAAUACCUGUACAUAUAGCCCCAAAGGUGGUACAAUACCUGAGGAUGGAUUGGUUUGUCCCCAGCCCAGCUCCAGUGCCUCAGGUUGUGUAACCAAAGUGAUUUUGCUCCCUCCUGGCGCUUCCCACAUUCCAAGCCAACCUCUAAACCACAUCCACAAGGUCUCCCAGGGAGUCUUGAUGCAGCCAGAUAUCCUUGGCAAAGCUUUGAUGGUGCCCCAGGUGAAGGCAUGGUGGGCACAGGGCAGCUCCAUGACAGGGUCUGCAUUGCUGCUUGGUUUCUAAAGAUGAAACAGCUGCUUUGGAAACCCCAAACAGGAGAGGAUGGUCUAAAUAAUACCCCUGGAAUACCAGGAAAAGGUACACACGAAGCUUGGUCUGGCAGGCCUCAAUGCUGAAGAAAGGUGUAGCUGGUCAGGACAGCAGUUUUGGGGACAUUUCCAUAAGUUUAUGUGACUUGCCCACAGAAGCAGGGUCAUGUUUGAAAUGUGGCCAUCCUGCUGCUCCUCCAGCUCCUCUUCUAGGGAGAGGAAAUGGUGUGAGCAGGGAAUGGGGGCUCUGUGCUCUUUGUCAGAUGUGAGAUAAGUGGUGCAAGGAUCGUGGGUGAGACGUGGGCAUGGUCUUGUAGGGAGGAUGAGCUCCAGACCCUGAUGUUCUUUGAGCAAGGGGAAAAUGUCAUAUGGAGAUAACCCCUGCCACAGCCUGCCCUGCAGGGAGCUCUCCUUCCCCACCUCCACCCCCUCAGAUUUUAAACUGUACAGGAGAGCUGAGCUUGUCUUGUGGCCUGUGGAGCAAAAGCCAUCAAAUGAAGGUGUCAGAUGCAAUUUUUCCUCUGCUGGUACAUUGGUAGACAGAGCAGGGUUUAUUUGCUCCAAGAGAAAAAAACCCACCCAGCCUUUAUGAGUCUGGAUUUCUGUGCUGCGUCCAACCGAGCAACACCUGUUCACUCAGCUGAUGCUGCUGUAUGUCCUUGAAAUAGGCUGGUGGAUGAGAGAGGAGGCUCUCCAGGCAUGUGGACUUCAUUUGGAACCCUUUUCUUUUUAUUACUUGAACACAUCAUGUAUCUGGGGCAAGAAAAAGGCUUCUCAGCCCAGUGCAGUGAGUGGGGACACACAUGCUGGAGAGGUAGAUAUAUAUGUCUCAGUAUUUUUAUACAUUUAUCACACCCGAGUGAGCAGCCACAGCUUUGCAAACAGCAUUUUUAGGACUAUAAAUACACAGCCACGAUUUGGGGUAUGUAUCUAUGGCCAGUAAGCCACCAAAACAUUCAUACAUGCCCUCCAAAAGUCAAGAGAUGUUUAGAACAUUUAAUUGGAUAUCAGUUGGGUCACAGACACGUUUUCCGUGGUGAAUUCUCUGUCAGGUGCACAGGGAAUGGUGCUUGCUGUAUGAGCAGGUACUUGUUGGCCUCUGCUCUGGUUAUUUGCUGCCUUUCCACGCCUCAGCUCGGGCCAUGCUGAGCGAGCUGUGCUCUGAGGAUGGGUUUUUUUCAGUUCUGUUUGCUCUGCUGCCAUGUCCUUACCCCUACCUGAGCACUGAUGUGAGGCACCAUUCUGGGUUUGGUGCUCCUUCAGCUCACACAAAAGUUCUGCUGAAGGGAAGAGGAUGGGCAGGAGGGGCAUGGAGCUGCUGGAGUGAGUCCACAGGAGGCCACCAAAGAUCAGAGGGAUGGAUAAGCUCUGCUGUGAGGAAAGGCUGAGAGAGUUGGGAUUGUUCAGCCUGGAAUAAGAGAGGCUUCAGAGUGAGCUAAUUGUGUUCUUUCAGUACCUGAAGGGAGCCUGCAAGGAAGAUGAAGAGACUGUUUACAAGGGCUUGGAGGAACAGGGGAAUAGAGAAUGGCUUCAAACAGAAAGAGAAUAGGUUUACGUUGGGAUACUGGGAAAAAAUUCCUCCCUGUGAGGGUGGUGAGGCCCUGGCCACAGAGAAGCUGUGGCUGCCCCUGGAUCCCUGGAAAUGUCCAAGGCCAGACUGGAUAGGGCUUGGAGCAACCUGGGGCAGUGGAAGGUAUCCCUGCAUGUGAUGAGAAUGAGAUGAUCUUUAAGGUCCCUCCAACCCCAACCUUCUCUAAUGAGACCUCAUAACCUGGAGUCCCCCUCUGAAUAAAACCAACAUGACAAAGGUGGCUGCA
rnacentral:lncRNA from 1 species